rnacentral:rRNA from 1 species
UACGUAGGAUCCAAGCGUUAUCCGGAUUUAUUGGGUUUAAAGGGUGCGUAGGCGGCUUAUUAAGUUAGGGGUGAAAGACGGUGGCUCAACCAUCGCAGUGCCCUUGAUACUGAUGAGCUUGAAUACACUUGAGGUAGGCGGAAUGUGACAAGUAGCGGUGAAAUGCAUAGAUAUGUCACAGAACACCAAUUGCGAAGGCAGCUUACUAAGGUGCAAUUGACGCUGAGGCACGAAAGCGUGGGGAUCAAACAGG